GAUAGAGUACGUUCCAGCCAUGGGAGAUAUUGAAGCAGCCGAAUGGGUGAUGAAUCCAUGAGUAGAGGUGAAGUAUGCUCACUAAAUGCAACUAGCAGCGGAAGAAACGUGGUUCAGUGGAUCUAGUGGUUGAUUUAGGUGGAGGAAGAGCUUUCGGUGGAUGUGAUAUCUAGCUCAGACAGCCUUCCAUCCAUGGAAGGAAGCUAGAGGAGAGAAAGGGGAAGCUCAUGGUGGAGUGACUUUCGGUGCAGAGAAAAUAGCUGGAAAUGCAUCAGCAGAAGUUCUCAUAUAUUCCAAAAGUGAAUUACAUGGAGAUAGAAGAAGAGAUUUAUAAGCUAUCUCUUCUGUGCAAGUAAAUCUAAAUGGUGACCUAUGCUACCAUCAUUCACGGAUCAGAGGACACGUGGCAGCAAGUAUGGUUUCCGUGAGUAGCAUCCAGAAAAGCCAUGAACAAUGCAUUUAANAUGUGCUGGAAAGAGUUAUCAGCCGUGGUGUAUUUAGUAAAGGUAGGGGGUGCUUCCAGCAGCUGUGGUCUUCAUUUGGACAGUUUUACCCCUUCUCCAUGUGUUGAUUUAGUCCACAAGUGAUGGGUCCAUGAUGGGCUUGGACCCAAGUCAUCAA
rnacentral:lncRNA from 1 species